UCAAUUCGCAAAAACUUCGAACAGCUUAUAUAGAAUCGGGAUUCAAGCCGACAGCGAUCCCAACGAGCUAUGGCUCAAACGAAUCGUCGUUCAAUUCUGAUAAUAUCGUGGAAAAACUUUUUUCCCGAAAAAUUUUUGUUGGGCUGUCAUGGCACUUAGACAAAUUUUUUCCGAAGUGGUCGCGAAAAUCGUUUUUUAUCAAUUACUCCAACAUGCGAGAUGUGAAUAAUGUCAAAUUGUGUACGUUUAUGAAGGUCGAUGAGCUGAAUAUUAUUGACCAACAAACGCCGAAUUUCGACCCACCCAGCCGCCACAACAAUUAAUAAACCAGGAGAAAACU